GGGUCAGAGUCUCUCACAAGAUUAUAGACAAGCUCAGACAAGACAAUAGUCAUCUCAGAGCUCCACUGGCUGAAGAAUCUUCUUUCAAGCUCAUGUAAAGGAUCGUUGGCAAGGAUCAGUUCUUCCCUGGCUCUUGGCUGCAGGCUUCAGUUCCUUGCCACGUGGACCUCACCAUGAAGUAGUCACAUAUGGCAGCUUGCUUGCCUCAUGGUGGAAGUUUGAAGAAAGGUGUGCCUGCUCAGAGGAAGGAGGACCUGACUGGAAGAGAAGAGAGGUCUUCAACCAGCUCCUGGCAGAUUCAGCUGGGUGUCCUGUAUUUCAUCUAACAACCAUAUCCUGGAGAGAACAAUGAAUCUGCCUGCUGCGGUAGAGGCUGAGGAUGGUGAAGAAGACAGCGGAAUGAUUAGGAAGGAUUUUGAAUGCCAAGUGGAGGAGUUUGAACUUCAUCUGAUAUCAGACGCAUGCUGGAGAGCUAGUGGGUUUUUGGCUAGGGAAUGACAGGGUCAGAUUCAUUUUGAGCAAUUUCCAGUUUUCUUUAACCAGUGCACCUGAGCAAGAGCACAUUAUCGUCACAAAGUAGCCUGCCACACUCUCAUUCACAGACACAUCAGCCACUUCUACCUGCUUUGCAGGUGAAAAACUGGCUAUUCCUGCCCAGGAACAUUAAGAGACUGUUUAUUUCAAUCAAUCAUUUUUCUAAAUACAUUAUCUCAUUCUAUAGCUGAAAAGUGGGAGGGGAGCAACAUCAAAGGAUUUACUUCAGCCCCAUCUAAGAAACCAAACACAUGCACCCCUUGUUCACCCUCCUCUGGUUGUCGCCCGUGGACCCAGAAGUCUCAGGCAUCUGACGCUCUGAAUGUCUGCCCAGAUGCCCAUCUCUGGAGAGAACAUGCUGAAAUGUUUGAGUUUGCACAGUUCAUUAAAUACCCUUCAGAAGAGCUCCCUGAUUCUCACAAAGGUCACCUUGGUUUCUUCUAGAGUCUGCAAAAUUCCUUUCUUUGGAGACGUUUUCUGUGUGAUGUCUACACAGGAAGAAGCUGACAGCAGUAGCUUGAAGAACCCAGUGACAGUCGCGGGGAGAGCAUUUGGCAAAAAACUGAUCACAAGAACUCUGUUCUCUGAAUCUGAUUUCAGUGAAAACACAGAGAAUAACUUUAAAUAGUCCGAUCAAGUUGAUACAAAAAUGGUGUUUAGAAACUGUUUGGACUGAUGGGAAAGAUAAAAACUAUGUGUGAAAAGACCAGAACGAGAUGAUAGGAAAAGCACUGCAUUAAGAAUCAACACAUCUAUUCCCUGAUCUUAGUUUUAGGGCUUUCAAAAUUGAGAUGUAAUUGACAUA
rnacentral:lncRNA from 1 species